GGUGGCGGGUGCUAUACUGCAAGUCGAACGAGGUGCUUUUGUAGCAAUACGAGAGUAUCCUAGUGGCGAACGGGUGAGUAACGCGUUGGUGACCUGCCCCAAAGUGUGGGAUAACAGUUCGAAAGGAUUGCUAAUACCGCAUGUGGUCAUUGGAUUUAGAAACUAAUGACUAAAGCAGUAAUGCGCUUUGGGAGGGACCUGCGUCCCAUCAGCUAGUUGGUGAGGUAACGGCUCACCAAGGCUACGACGGGUAGGGGACCUGAGAGGGUGGCCCCCCACAAUGGAACUGAAACACGGUCCAUACACCUACGGGUGGCAGCAGUAGGGAAUAUUGCUCAAUGGGCGAAAGCCUGAAGCAGCAACGCCGCGUGCGCGAUGAAGGCCUUCGGGUCGUAAAGCGCUUUUCUGGGAGAUGAGAAAGGACAGUAUCUCAGGAAUAAGUCUCGGCUAACUACGUGCCAGCAGCCGCGGUAAAACGUAGGAGGCAAGCGUUAUCCGGAUUCACUGGGCGUAAAGCGCGUGCAGGCGGUUCGGUAAGUUGGGCGUGAAAUCUCUUGGCUUAACUAGGAGAGGUCGUUCAAUACUACCGGACUCGAGAGUGGUAGAGGAAGAUGGAAUUCCCGGUGUAGUGGUGAAAUGCGUAGAUAUCGGGAGGAACACCAGUGGCGAAAGCGAUCUUCUGGACCAUUUCUGACGCUCAGACGCGAAAGCUAGGGUAGUAAACGGGAUUAGAGACCCCGGUAAUCCUAGCCGUAAACGAU
rnacentral:rRNA from 1 species